rnacentral:rRNA from 1 species
GAACGCGGCGGCGUGCUUAACACAUGCAAGUCGAACGGUGAACACGGAGCUUGCUCUGUGGGAUCAGUGGCGAACGGGUGAGUAACACGUGAGCAACCUGCCCCUGACUCUGGGAUAAGCGCUGGAAACGGCGUCUAAUACUGGAUAUGUGACGUGACCGCAUGGUCUGCGUUUGGAAAGAUUUUUCGGUUGGGGAUGGGCUCGCGGCCUAUCAGCUUGUUGGUGAGGUAAUGGCUCACCAAGGCGUCGACGGGUAGCCGGCCUGAGAGGGUGACCGGCCACACUGGGACUGAGACACGGCCCAGACUCCUACGGGAGGCAGCAGUGGGGAAUAUUGCACAAUGGGCGAAAGCCUGAUGCAGCAACGCCGCGUGAGGGAUGACGGCCUUCGGGUUGUAAACCUCUUUUAGCAGGGAAGAAGCGAAAGUGACGGUACCUGCAGAAAAAGCGCCGGCUAACUACGUGCCAGCAGCCGCGGUAAUACGUAGGGCGCAAGCGUUAUCCGGAAUUAUUGGGCGUAAAGAGCUCGUAGGCGGUUUGUCGCGUCUGCUGUGAAAUCCCGAGGCUCAACCUCGGGCCUGCAGUGGGUACGGGCAGACUAGAGUGCGGUAGGGGAGAUUGGAAUUCCUGGUGUAGCGGUGGAAUGCGCAGAUAUCAGGAGGAACACCGAUGGCGAAGGCAGAUCUCUGGGCCGUAACUGACGCUGAGGAGCGAAAGGGUGGGGAGCAAACAGGCUUAGAUACCCUGGUAGUCCACCCCGUAAACGUUGGGAACUAGUUGUGGGGUCCAUUCCACGGAUUCCGUGACGCAGCUAACGCAUUAAGUUCCCCGCCUGGGGAGUACGGCCGCAAGGCUAAAACUCAAAGGAAUUGACGGGGACCCGCACAAGCGGCGGAGCAUGCGGAUUAAUUCGAUGCAACGCGAAGAACCUUACCAAGGCUUGACAUAUACGAGAACGGGCCAGAAAUGGUCAACUCUUUGGACACUCGUAAACAGGUGG